CCUACGGGUGGCAGCAGUGAGGAAUAUUGGUCAAUGGGCGGAAGCCUGAACCAGCCAAGUCGCGUGAGGGAAUAAGGCCCUACGGGUCGUAAACCUCUUUUGCCGGGGAGCAAGGGCCGGGACGAGUCCCGGUCCGGAGAGUACCCGGAGAAAAAGCAUCGGCUAACUCCGUGCCAGCAGCCGCGGUAAUACGGAGGAUGCGAGCGUUAUCCGGAUUUAUUGGGUUUAAAGGGUGCGUAGGCGGGCUGUUAAGUCAGCGGUCAAAUGUCGGGGCUCAACCCCGGCCUGCCGUUGAAACUGGCGGCCUCGAGUGGGCGAGAAGUAUGCGGAAUGCGUGGUGUAGCGGUGAAAUGCAUAGAUAUCACGCAGAACUCCGAUUGCGAAGGCAGCAUACCGGCGCCCUACUGACGCUGAGGCACGAAAGCGUGGGUAUCGAACAGGAUUAGAUACCCCUGUAGUC
rnacentral:rRNA from 1 species